rnacentral:tRNA from 1 species
AAGACCCUAAUUUAAUAAAAAUUUAAGAUUGUCAGUCUUAAAAUACCCUUUACGGUGAGUCUUU